rnacentral:rRNA from 1 species
GAUGAACGCUGGCGGCGUGCCUAAUACAUGCCAGUCGAGCGAACAGAUUAGGAUCUUGUUCCUCUUACGUUAGCGGCUGACGGGUGAGUAACCCGUGGAUACCCUACCUAUAAGACUGGGAUACCUUCGGUAAACCGGAGCUAAUACCGUACAAUCUUUUGUACCGCCUUGUUCGUUAGUAUAACACGGUUUUGAUUUCACUUAUAACUGGAUCCGCGCCGCAUUAGCUAAUUGGUAAGGUAACGGCAUACCAAGGCAACGCUGCGUAGCCGAUCUGACAUGGUGUGCAGCCGCACCGGAACGGAGACACGGACAAGACUCCUACGGGAGGUAGCAGUAGGGAAUCUUCCGUAAUGGGCGAAAGCCUGACGGAGCAACGCCGCGUGAGUGAUGAAGGUUGUCGGAUCGUAAAACUCGGUUAUUAGGGAAGAACAAAUGUGUAAGUAACUAUGCACGUCUUGACGGUACCUAAUCAGAAAGCCACGGCUAACUACGUG